AGAUUCAUGUCUCAAUCCAUCCUGCUUUUUUUCUGCCAUAUUCCUACUCCAGGUUCUUGCAUGCCUGGUGAGAGCCAGUGAGGGGGAACGCAGUGCUUAAGGAGUUGCAACACUGGAGACAGGCUUUGGUGAUUCAAAUCUGGGCCCUGCUGCUCAGUGGCUUUGUGUCCUUGGACUGAGAGUAUCUCAAAGCAGGGACCUCAUCCUGUUCAUCACUGCCAUCCAAAUGGUGCCCAGAACACAAAAGGUACCAAGUAAAUGUAAAUGUUUGUUAAAUCAACUGUCCCC
rnacentral:lncRNA from 1 species